rnacentral:rRNA from 1 species
UGUUAUGGCGCGUGCUACCAUGCAGUCGAACGGUGAAGCCCAGCUUGCUGGGUGGAUCAGUGGCGAACGGGUGAGUAACACGUGAGCAAUCUGCCCCUGACUCUGGGAUAAGCGCUGGAAACGGCGUCUAAUACUGGAUACGAACCGUGGAGGCAUCUUCAACGGUUGGAAAGAUUUUUUGGUCAGGGAUGAGCUCGCGGCCUAUCAGCUUGUUGGUGAGGUAAUGGCUCACCAAGGCGUCGACGGGUAGCCGGCCUGAGAGGGUGACCGGCCACACUGGGACUGAGACACGGCCCAGACUCCUACGGGAGGCAGCAGUGGGGAAUAUUGCACAAUGGGCGCAAGCCUGAUGCAGCAACGCCGCGUGAGGGAUGACGGCCUUCGGGUUGUAAACCUCUUUUAGCAGGGAAGAAGCGAAAGUGACGGUACCUGCAGAAAAAGCGCCGGCUAACUACGUGCCAGCAGCCGCGGUAAUACGUAGGGCGCAAGCGUUAUCCGGAAUUAUUGGGCGUAAAGAGCUCGUAGGCGGUUUGUCGCGUCUGCUGUGAAAUCCCGAGGCUCAACCUCGGGUCUGCAGUGGGUACGGGCAGACUAGAGUGCGGUAGGGGAGAUUGGAAUUCCUGGUGUAGCGGUGGAAUGCGCAGAUAUCAGGAGGAACACCGAUGGCGAAGGCAGAUCUCUGGGCCGUAACUGACGCUGAGGAGCGAAAGGGUGGGGAGCAAACAGGCUUAGAUACCCUGGUAGUCCACCCCGUAAACGUUGGGAACUAGUUGUGGGGUCCAUUCCACGGAUUCCGUGACGCAGCUAACGCAUUAAGUUCCCCGCCUGGGGAGUACGGCCGCAAGGCUAAAACUCAAAGGAAUUGACGGGGACCCGCACAAGCGGCGGAGCAUGCGGAUUAAUUCGAUGCAACGCGAAGAACCUUACCAAGGCUUGACAUAUACGAGAACGCUGCAGAAAUGUAGAACUCUUUGGACACUCGUAAACAGGUGGUGCAUGGUUGUCGUCAGCUCGUGUCGUGAGAUGUUGGGUUAAGUCCCGCAACGAGCGCAACCCUCGUUCUAUGUUGCCAGCACGUAAUGGUGGGAACUCAUGGGAUACUGCCGGGGUCAACUCGGAGGAAGGUGGGGAUGACGUCAAAUCAUCAUGCCCCUUAUGUCUUGGGCUUCACGCAUGCUACAAUGGCCGGUACAAAGGGCUGCAAUACCGUAAGGUGGAGCGAAUCCCAAAAAGCCGGUCCCAGUUCGGAUUGAGGUCUGCAACUCGACCUCAUGAAGUCGGAGUCGCUAGUAAUCGCAGAUCAGCAACGCUGCGGUGAAUACGUUCCCGGGUCUUGUACACACCGCCCGUCAAGUCAUGAAAGUCGGUAACACCUGAAGCCGGUGGCCCAACCCUUGUGGAGGGAGCCGUCGAAGGUGGAUCGU